rnacentral:rRNA from 1 species
AACGAACGCUGGCGGCAUGCCUAACACAUGCAAGUCGAACGAGACCUUCGGGUCUAGUGGCGCACGGGUGCGUAACGCGUGGGAACCUGCCCUUAGGUUCGGAAUAACUCCCCGAAAGGGGUGCUAAUACCGGAUAAUGUCUUCGGCCCAAAGAUUUAUCGCCCUUGGAUGGGCCCGCGUUGGAUUAGCUAGUUGGUAGGGUAAAAGCCUACCAAGGCGACGAUCCAUAGCUGGUCUGAGAGGAUGAUCAGCCACACUGGGACUGAGACACGGCCCAGACUCCUACGGGAAGCAGCAGUGGGGAAUAUUGGACAAUGGGCGAAAGCCUGAUCCAGCAAUGCCGCGUGAGUGAUGAAGGCCUUAGGGUUGUAAAGCUCUUUUACCCGGGAUGAUAAUGACAGUACCGGGAGAAUAAGCUCCGGCUAACUCCGUG